rnacentral:rRNA from 1 species
CCUACGGGAGGCUGCAGUGGGGAAUAUUGGACAAUGGGGGCAACCCUGAUCCAGCCAUGCCGCGUGGGUGAAGAAGGCCCUCGGGUUGUAAAGCACUUUCAGUGAGGAAGAACGCCUGGUGGUUAAUACCCAUCAGGAAAGACAUCACUCACAGAAGAACCACCGGCUAACGCCGUGCCAGCAGCCGCGGUAAUACGGAGGGUGCGAGCGUUAAUCGGAAUUACUGGGCGUAAAGCGCGCGUAGGUGGCUUGAUAAGCCGGUUGUGAAAGCCCCGGGCUCAACCUGGGAACGGCAUCCGGAACUGUCAAGCUAGAGUGCAGGAGAGGAAGGUAGAAUUCCCCGUGUAGCGGUGAAAUGCGUAGAGAUCGGGAGGAAUACCAGUGGCGAAGGCGGCCUUCUGGAACGACACUGACACUGAGGUGCGAAAGCGUGGGGAGCAAACAGGAUUAGAUACCCCGGUAGUC